rnacentral:rRNA from 1 species
UUGUCGUCAGCUCGUGUCGUGAGAUGUUGGGUUAAGUCCCGCAACGAGCGCAACCCUGUCCCUAUGUUGCCAGCGGGUCAUGCCGGGGACUCAUGGGAGACUGCCGGGGUCAACUCGGAGGAAGGUGGGAUGACGUCAAAUCAUCAUGCCCCUUAUGUCUUGGGCUUCACGCAUGCUACAAUGGCCGGUACAAAGGGCUGCGAUACCGCGAGGUGGAGCGAAUCCCAGAAAGCCGGUCUCAGUUCGGAUUGGGGUCUGCAACUCGACCCCAUGAAGUCGGAGUCGCUAGUAAUCGCAGAUCAGCAACGCUGCGGUGAAUACGUUCCCGGGCCUU